GGGGAGGCAAAUCCCAAAAAAGGACGUCCCAGUUCGGACUGCAGUCUGCAACCCGACUGCACGAAGCCGGAAUCGCUAGUAAUCGCGGAUCAGAAUGCCGCGGUGAAUACGUUCCCGGGUCUUGUACACACCGCCCGUCACACCAUGGGAGCUGGAAAUGCCCGAAGUCGGUGACCCAACCUUCGGGAGGGAGCCGCCGAAGGCAGGUCCGGUAACUGGGGUGAAGUCGUAACAAGGUAAC
rnacentral:rRNA from 1 species